rnacentral:rRNA from 1 species
GAUGAACGCUGGCGGCGUGCCUAAUACAUGCAAGUCGAGCGAACAGAUGAGGAGCUUGCUCCUCUGACGUUAGCGGCGGACGGGUGAGUAACACGUGGAUAGCCUACCUAUAAGACUGGGAUAACUUCGGGAAACCGGAGCUAAUACCGGAUAAUAUAUUGAACCGCAUGGUUCAAUAGUGAAAGACGGUUUUGCUGUCACUUAUAGAUGGAUCCGCGCCGCAUUAGCUAGUUGGUAAGGUAACGGCUUACCAAGGCGACGAUGCGUAGCCGACCUGAGAGGGUGAUCGGCCACACUGGAACUGAGACACGGUCCAGACUCCUACGGGAGGCAGCAGUAGGGAAUCUUCCGCAAUGGGCGAAAGCCUGACGGAGCAACGCCGCGUGAGUGAUGAAGGUCUUCGGAUCGUAAAACUCUGUUAUUAGGGAAGAACAAAUGUGUAAGUAACUAUGCACGUCUUGACGGUACCUAAUCAGAAAGCCACGGCUAACUACGUG